GAAGGGGUCAAUUCAAUAAACACAAGAAUUGUAGUAAAAUGAAACCCAUAUAGCAAUGUUAGCUAAGCUAGCUAUUUUGUGAUUAUUGUUAAGUGGGGAUUUUUCAUUUCCACAUCAGCUAUUUUUACAUACAUUUUGCAAUUUGUUUUUAGAUCACUACAAUGGGGUGUUUAAUAAGUAAAUGCAAUGAGACUGUUUUAUGAGGAUACAUAUGAACAUUUACAUUCUAAGCAUAUGCAUGCUUAUUUUUUAUCUUAAUAGGUUAUCUCAAAAAUAUUGUUAACGUUGAUAUAAUUUAGCACUAUAUGCAAUGACUGGUGAUGUAACUGAAAAAAACAACCUUAGUUUAAAAAGCUAAUGAGAUCAAGGUUUGCAAGAAUUGUAGAAGAUUCCAUGUUUCUAG